GGCCCCAUCGUCUAGUGGUUAGGAUCCAUGGUUUUCAUCCAUGUUACCGGAGUUCAAGUCUCCGUGGGGUCACCA
rnacentral:tRNA from 1 species